rnacentral:lncRNA from 1 species
UAUCCCUGCACUACCCCCAAUAUUGUGCAUGUGAGGUUGAUGGUUAACAGCCUCCUGUGUUAAUCAACUAAGACAGGGGUGUCCAAUCUUUUGGUUUCCCUGGGCCACACUGGAAGAAUUGUCUUGGGUGACACAAAAUACGCUAAGGAUAGUUGAUGAACUCAAAACAAAACAAAACACCUCAUAAUGUUUUAAGAAAAUUUACAAAUGUGUGUUGGGCCACAUUCAAAGCUGUUGUGGGCUCUGGGUUGGACAAGCUUGAGCUAGGAGAAACUAUCCAAAGAAUUCUUAACCUUCAUCCUGUCUCCAGUAGCUUUAACUGAUAUAGCUUGUUUUCUGAAAGUCUUAAUUUUCUGCUUCUAUUCAAGAAGGUUACUUCACAAUAUGAAAAUAAGAUUAUGAAAUGAUGCUAAAACAGUUAUACAUAGUUCCUUUUUCAUGUUGGUAAAUGUUUUCUUUUGAAGUUGGAAACAAUCUUAUUUUUAACCCUGGUUUCAGUCAAAAUUAACUAUCCUAGUGUGAAAUGAUAUCACCAGGAUAAACUAUCUUUUGUGAUUAUUUUUAAAGCAAAAAUGCCAAUUUCUCUUACCUCAGUAAAAUCUGAUUUUAUAGCAAA